AGAAUUUUGCGACCAAGAACUUUGCGACAGAAAAAUUUGCGACCAAGAAUUUUGCAACCAAGAAUUUUUCGGUCGCAAAGUUCUUGGUCGCAAAAUUCU
rnacentral:pre_miRNA from 1 species